CAGAAAAGGACUCUGCUGCAGUUCAAGACUUCUUUUCCAAGAUGGAAGCUGCUUUCAUGGCUCAUCCACUUUGGUCCGGUUGUUCUGAGGAUGAACUAGACAGCGCUGGAGAUGGUCUAGAGAAGUAUGUCAUGACAAAGCUGUUUCCCCGUGUCUUUGCUUCAAACACAGAGGGGAUGUUAUAUCUGAUGAGAAACUCUUUCAGAAGAUGUCUUUGGUUCAACAGUUCAUUUCUCCUGAAUAUCUUUGUAGAGUUUUGUGGGACAAAUUUGGAGGUGGCAUCGUUUAAAAAAAAUAACUGGAUCGGCUUUAGCUCAAUUCUAUAAAGCAACGUUUUCGGGCUGUGUUGGUUUCUGGCCAAAUCUUCUCCAUCGAUAUUCAAUCGCAAGAGGUUAUCUAAUCUAACCUGAAACCUAUUCCCGAUUUCCCUUCCCCGGUGAAGAAACGCUCCGCCGUUAUGGCAAUCAAUCAACACGACCCACUAAUCCCACGCUCUCCUCCUCACUAUAUAUGAACAGAGCAGGACUUCCUUUGCUCGAGAUUGUAUCUGAAAUUCAUAUGGACUGUGAGGAGGUAUUUGGGAGUGAGUAAUGUGAAUAUGCAAGAAGACGUUCUCCCUUGUAUGUUUAUAUCUCAAUCAGGCAAGCUAAG